ACCUGGUUGAUCCUGCCAGUAGCAUAUGCUUGUCUCAAAGAUUAAGCCAUGCAAGUCUAAGUACUUGGAUACUGUGGCAAUUCUAGAGCUAAUACAUAAGAACGAGUGCUGACCUCUGGGGAUGCGUUCAUUUAUCAGACCCAAAACCCAGGCGGGACCGAUGGUACUUUCUGUGCCUACCAUGGUGACCACGGGUAACGGGGAAAUGGCUACCACAUCCAAGGAAGGCUGCAGGCGUGCAAAUUACCCACUCCUGACUCGAGGAUGUAGUCACAAAAAAUAACAAUACAGGACUCUUUCGAGGCCCUGUAAUUGUAAUGAGUACACUUUAAAUCCUUUAGCGAGGAUCAAUUGGAGGGCAAGUCUGGUGCCAGCAGCCGUGGUAAUUCCAGCUCCAAUAGCGUAUCUUAAAGUUGCUGCAGUUAAAAAUCUUGUAGUUGGAUCUCAGGAUCAAGCUGAUGGUCCAUCAUGAGGCGAGCUACCGUCUGUCCCAGCCCGUGAAAUUCUUGCACCUGCGCCAGACGGACGAAAGCGAAAGCAUUUGCAAAGAAUGUUUUCAUUAAUCAAGAAUGAAAGUCGGAGGUUCAGAGACGAACAGAUACCGUCAUAGUUCCGACCAUAAACGAUGCCAAAUAGCAAUUUGGCAGCAUUAUUCACAUGAUCCACCAGGCAGCGUCCGGGAAACCAAAGUCUUUGGGUUUCGGGGGAAGUAUGGUUCCAAACCUGAAAUUAAAGGAAUUGACAGAAGGGCACCACCAGGAGCGGAGCCUGCAGCUUAAUUUGACUCAACACGAGAAACCUCACCCGGCCCGGACACGGAAAGGGUUGACAGAUUGAUAGCUCUUUCUCGAUUCUGUGGGUGGUGGUGCAUGGCCGUUUUUAGUUGGUGGAGCAAUUUGUCUGGUUAAUUCUGAUAACAAAUGAGACUCCAGCAUGCUAACUAGUUAUGCAGCCCCGUGCAGUCGGUGUCCAACUUCUUAGAGGGACAAGUGGCGGUCAGCCACACGAGAUUGAGCAAUAACAGGCCUGUGAUGCCCGGGGCUGCACGCGCGCCACACUGAGUGGAUCAGCAUGUGUCUACCCUUCACCGAGAGGUGUGGGUAAUCCGCUGAACCCCGCUCAUGAUAGGUAUUGGGGAUUGGAAUUAUUUCCCAUGAACAAGGAAUUCCCAGUAAGUGCGGGUCAUAAGCUUGCGUUGAUUAAGUCCCUGCCCUUUGUACACACCGCCCGUCCCUACUACCGAUUGGAUGGUUUAGUGAGGUCCUCGGACUGGCCCCACUGGGGUCGGUCACAGCCCUGGCAGAGCACCGAGAAGACUAUCAAACUUGACUAUCUAGAGGAAGUAAAAGUCAUAACAAGGUUUCCGUAGGUGAAACUGCAGAAG
rnacentral:rRNA from 1 species